CCCCUCCCCCUGGCAGGCGCGGUGACCCCGAGACCGCCCUGGUUGGCUCUCUCACCCUUGGGGCCCGUGAGCGCAGUGGCCAGGCAGAGGACAUCCCCGACCACCACGGUGCCGGGCAUCUCUGGAGCGAUGGCCGGCAGGACGGGCAGCGGCACGUAGUCGGAGAGGCCGGGGUGCUCGGGGUCCCACACGCGCAGCAGCGUCAGGCCCACGCUGACCGUGCGCAGUACGCAGGUGUUGUUGGUGGUGCCCUUGGUGACCUGCACGAAGUCCUCUCUGGGGACAGGGAGGCGCUCAGCUGGAGGGAGUCCCAGGGCCUCGCAGGCCUCCUCGCGCCUUGCAGGACAGAGGCCACAGCCCCUGGCCACCCAGGGCCAGCACCGCCACCCCACACCCAGAAGGGAAACCGCGGCCAGGAGGAGAGUGACCCCCAGAGAAGGCCUCUGCUGUGGGACAGCCUCGCCACGUCCCCUCUGUGCACCGGUGACACUGUGCCUGCCACGUGGCGUGACGGGCGCGCUAAACGGCUGGCGCUUAGAGAGCAGCUGGUGCCCGUGUCUCCUAAGGCCCCACUCUGCCAGCUCGGCCACCGGCUGUGGGAAGCCCAGGCUGCAGUGGUCACCACUGGCAGGAUGCUCCCUCUGCUCCCCCAGACCCUGGAGACGGUCUGCUCCCUCCGCCAGGCAAGGUGUCACUCUCAGCAGGACACUGAGGGACACCACUGCUGACGGACAGGGCACGCAGCUGUGGACACGGACUAGAGAUCGUCAGGUGGCCCUGCAGUGACAAAGGUCCCAGAGUGACCCAGACGCACUGGCGCUGCUCAGUCCCAGCUUUGGAAACGAUCGGCCAUGGAGCCCAGGGGACGGCCCACUGAGGAAGCCACCCCGUGCCGGCCGAGGCCCCGCUCACCGUGGCGAUGCCCCUGGCCUCCUGGUAGGCCACCCUGACCGCGUUGGCAGCGCUCGUGUUGAGGAAGAAGUAGCCGGAGCCCUCCUUGACGUGCAACUCCGCCUGGGGACGAGAGGCCAGGGGCAGCGGUCAGGCAGGGCCAGGGCCCAGGGUCUCCGGGGGGGGGGCGGGGCUGGCGGGGGACCCACCUGGACAUCAGGGUGGUUGUAGACGGUCACCACGUCCGGAUCCACACGCAUGUCCUCCACCAGGACCAGCUCCACCGAGGCGGACACGGGCGCAGGUGGGCCAGGCUGCAGGGACAGGACAGGGCCAUCAGACCCAUAGGCCACCCCGGGGACAGGGGCGGGAUCCCAGUCCUGGCCUUGCCCCAGGCCCCCGUGAUGUCCAGGACACACACUGGGCCCAGGGCAGCCACCUUCCCAUGAGGCCCCAGACCCCAGAGCUGGGAGGGGCCGUUCCCGGUGCCCAGCGGGCAGCUGUCCACCCCCACGGGUGGCUCUGGACAUACCAGUGGCUUCACUCUAGCUGCACUGAGGUGGGACAGCUGGUAGCCGGUCACCGUGGCAGAGAUGGAGGUGGUCCCUGAUGCCUCAUGGACAGCAAUGGCUUGCAAUCCUGGGUCCAGAGGAGGACACCGACGUUGGGCCUCUGUGGUCACCCACCCCUCCAU
ensembl:lncRNA